ensembl:lncRNA
GGAGACUCAACACACACUCAGAACAUCAUGCGAAGAUUGAAAUUAUGUUGUCACAAACCAAUGUAUGACAUAGGUUAGCAAGCUACCAGGAGCUUGGAGACAGGCCUGGGGCAGAGCCUUUCCUGGAACCUUCGAAAAGAGUAUGGGCCUGCUUAUGUUCUCAUUUCAGACUGACAGCCUCCCCAAAUGUAAGACCAUGUAUGCUUAAGACAAGGAAAGUGAAAGCAACACCCCCAUCUCUGGAGGGAUUGUGGAGAUGUGCGAUAUCGUCUGUCUUAGGGUUCCCAUUGCUGAGAAGAGACGACAUGACCAAGGCAACUCUUGUAAAGAACAUUUUAUUGGGGGCUGGCUUACAGAUUCAGAGGUUUAGAGGUUAUCAUCAUGGUGGGAUGCAUGACAGUGUCCAAGCAGACAUGGCACUGGAGAAGGAGCUGAGGGUUCUACAGCUCCAUCCUUAAGUAGCAGGAGACUGUGUACCACACAGGGCAUAACUUUAAAGCCAGACUCCAUGGUGACAGACAUCCUCCAACAAGGCCACGCCUCCUAGUUGUGCCACUCCCAAUGAGCCAAGCAUUCAAAUGCAUGAUCUGGGGUGCCAUACCUAUCCCAACUACCAUACCACUAAAGGCUUGAAGGAUGGAGGGAUAGGACCCUCACUUAGUUCACUGCUUGGCCUGUGCAGAAAGCACAUCUUUGAGAAUACUAGUCAUAAGCUAUUCAGAGGUGACUCCAAUUGCAGUUAUGAGUUUAUUGCUUCAGUCCAUUACCAUAUCAGGUGUGCAGCUGCCAUACUGACAAAUGCUUCCCCUCUUUAUAUCUCAGUACAGCCCCACCAGAGGCAUCUAGCAGCUGGCAAAGCCAUCAGUACACCCUUGCUUUCUUACCUCAGGAGGAUAUUCAUUCUCUGGCCACAUGUCAUCAUGCAGUUAGUCACUAUCUGUGAUCACGACUCUCUUAAGACUUCCCACCAGUCCACGACAUGGAUGAUAAACUGUGUCCCAGGAGAUGGGCUGUUCUUGAAGAAUGAGAUCCACUGGUGGUGGUGUUUGCUGUUAGAAGAAUAUCUGGUGGGCUGGAGAGACGACUCCUUGGUUAAGAGCACCGACUGCUCUUCAGAGGUUCUGAGUUCCAUUUUGCAGCAACCACAUGGUGGCUCACAACCAUCUGUAAUGGGAUCUGGCGCCCUCUUCUGGUGUGUCUGAAGACAGCGACAGUGUACUCACAUAUAUAAAAU